rnacentral:misc_RNA from 1 species
GAUGAAGAACGCAGCGAAAUGCGAUAAGUAGUGUGAAUUGCAGAAUUCAGUGAAUCAUCGAAUCUUUGAACGCACAUUGCGCCCGGUAGUAAUCUGCCGGGCAUGCCUGUCCGAGCGUCAUUUCAACCCUCGAACCACUAUUCGCGUAGCUGGAUCGGUGUUGGGGCACUACGGUGGAAUACCCGUAGGCCCCGAAAUGAAGUGGCGGUCCCGCCGCGGCGCCCUCAUGCGUAGUAACAUCUCGUCUCGCAUCGGGUCCCGGCGGAGGCCUGCCGUCAAGCCUAUUUUCUAAUUACAGAUGGUUUGACCUCGGAUCAGGUAGGGUUACCCGCUGAACUUAAGCAUAUCAAUAACGGAGGA